GACCGGAAAACCUUCCAUCCUUUAAGGGUAGACUUUACAUAGAUAAAUUAAGUUGUAUAAGAAAAGCAAAAUGGGUAUGUUAAAUUUGAUGAAUACCUGUAUGUGCUUCUUCGUUUCAUUUGUUGUAUUUAAAGUGAUAUUAAGAUGAUAACACAAUUAUUACUGCUGUAUCCCUGGUUUUGACAAUUUUAUUCGUUGAGUAUGUUUGUUUUGUUCAUGCAUCGUUGACAAUUAAUGGAAUUUUAGGCGACUGUUAUAGAAGUGAGAGGUUUAGCUAGCUAUAAAACCAGGUUCAAUCCACCAUUUUCCACAUUACUAAAUGCCUGUAUCAAGUCAGGAAUAUGACCGUUGUUAUCCAUUUGUUUGAUGUGUUUGGACUUUUGAUUUUGGACUGUCCUUUUUUGAAUUUCCGUCGGAGUUCAGUAUUAUUUUAACAUUUUUUUUUACUGCUUUUUAAUCUUUUUUUCUUUUCACUCAUUGAGUCCAUUAAGUUCAAGAGUUUGUAUCUGGUGCAUCCAAAAUCUCUCUCACUUUUGUCUUCCUUCAUUUUUCUUAAUGAUUUAACUGACGUUUCAAAAUCGUGUCAUGCUAUUUGAAAGGUGUCAUUUAAGAUAUCGGAAAGAAAGUCGCAGGACAAGUAUUACUCCGGUAUCUAUUAGAUACACU
rnacentral:lncRNA from 1 species